rnacentral:rRNA from 1 species
UGACCAACCUGCCCCUAACUCUGGGAUAACCCCGGGAAACCGGAGCUAAUACCGGAUACGAGACCGAGUGGCAUCACACGGUCUGGAAAGUUUUUCGGUUAGGGAUGGGGUCGCGGCCUAUCAGCUUGUUGGUGGGGUAACGGCCUACCAAGGCGACGACGGGUAGCCGGCCUGAGAGGGCGACCGGCCACACUGGGACUGAGACACGGCCCAGACUCCUAUGGGAGGCA